AGCAGCCGCGGUAAUUCCAGCUCCAAUAGCGUAUAUUAAAGUUGUUGCAGUUAAAAAGCUCGUAGUUGAACUUCAGGCCUGUCCAGAUGGUCCGCCUUAAUUGGUGUGUACUGUCCUUGGGUGGGUCCUACCUUCUGGCGAAGCGGCAUGGCCUUAGUUGGUUGUGUCGGGGAACCAGGACUUUUACUGUGAAAAAUUAGAGUGUUCAAAGCAGGCAUAUAUGCUCGAAUACAUUAGCAUGGAAUAAUGGAAUAGGACGAUGGUUCUAUUUUGUUGGUUCUAGGACCGUUGUAAUGAUUAAUAGGGAUAGUUGGGGGCAUUAGUAUUCAAUUGUCAGAGGUGAAAUUCUUGGAUUUAUUGAAGACUAACUACUGCGAAAGCAUUUGCCAAGGAUGUUUUCAUUAAUCAAGAACGAAAGUUAGGGGAUCGAAGGCGAUCAGAUACCGUCGU
rnacentral:rRNA from 1 species